GACGAACGCUGGCGGCGUGCUUAACACAUGCAAGUCGAACGGAAAGGCCCUGCUUUUGUGGGGUGCUCGAGUGGCGAACGGGUGAGUAACACGUGAGUAACCUGCCCUUGACUUUGGGAUAACUUCAGGAAACUGGGGCUAAUACCGGAUAGGAGCUCCUGCUGCUUGGUGGGGGUUGGAAAGUUUCGGCGGUUGGGGAUGGACUCGCGGCUUAUCAGCUUGUUGGUGGGGUAGUGGCUUACCAAGGCUUUGACGGGUAGCCGGCCUGAGAGGGUGACCGGCCACAUUGGGACUGCGAUACGGCCCAGACUCCUACGGGAGGCAGCAGUGGGGAAUAUUGCACAAUGGGCGGAAGCCUGAUGCAGCAACGCCGCGUGCGGGAUGACGGCCUUCGGGUUGUAAACCGCCUUCGCCUGUGACGAAGCGUGAGUGACGGUAAUGGGUAAAGAAGCACCGGCUAACUACGUG
rnacentral:rRNA from 1 species